rnacentral:rRNA from 1 species
UACGAAGGGGGCUAGCGUUGUUCGGAUUUACUGGGCGUAAAGCGCACGUAGGCGGACUUUUAAGUCAGGGGUGAAAUCCCGGGGCUCAACCCCGGAACUGCCUUUGAUACUGGAAGUCUUGAGUAUGGUAGAGGUGAGUGGAAUUCCGAGUGUAGAGGUGAAAUUCGUAGAUAUUCGGAGGAACACCAGUGGCGAAGGCGGAUGACUGGACGGCAACUGACGGUGAGGCGCGAAAGCGUGGGGAGCAAACAGG